CAACCCGGGAUUGCCUUAGUAACGGCGAGUGAAGCGGCAAAAGCUCAAAUUUGAAAUCUGGUACCUUCGGUGCCCGAGUUGUAAUUUGGAGAGGGCAACUUUGGGGCCGUUCCUUGUCUAUGUUCCUUGGAACAGGACGUCAUAGAGGGUGAGAAUCCCGUGUGGCGAGGAGUGCGGUUCUUUGUAAAGUGCCCUCGAAGAGUCGAGUUGUUUGGGAAUGCAGCUCUAAGUGGGUGGUAAAUUCCAUCUAAAGCUAAAUAUUGGCGAGAGACCGAUAGCGAACAAGUACAGUGAUGGAAAGAUGAAAAGAACUUUGAAAAGAGAGUGAAAAAGUACGUGAAAUUGUUGAAAGGGAAGGGCAUUUGAUCAGACAUGGUGUUUUGUGCCCUCUGCUCCUUGUGGGUAGGGGAAUCUCGCAUUUCACUGGGCCAGCAUCAGUUUUGGUGGCAGGAUAAAUCCAUAGGAAUGUAGCUUGCCUCGGUAAGUAUUAUAGCCUGUUGGGAAUACUGCCAGCUGGGACUGAGGACUGCGACGUAAGUCAAGGAUGCUGGCAUAAUGGUUAUAUGCCGCCCGUCUUGAACCCGGGACCCA
rnacentral:rRNA from 1 species